rnacentral:rRNA from 1 species
UAGGGAAUAUUAGCAAUGGGCGAAAGCCUGAACUAGCAACACCGCGUGUGCGAAGAAGGCCUUCGGGUUGUAAAGCACUUUUUGAGAGGAUGAGGAAGGACGGUACUCUCAGAAUAAGUCUCGGCUAACUACGUGCCAGCAGCCGCGGUAACACGUAGGAGGCAAACGUUAUCCGGAUUUACUGGGCGUAAAGCGCGUGUAGGUGGUUUGGUAAGUAGAGCGUGAAAGCUCCUGGCUCAACUGGGAGAGGUCGUUCUAAACUGCCGGACUAGAGGAUGGUAGAGUGAGGUAGAAUUCCGGGUGUAGCGGUGGAAUGCGCAGAUAUCCGGAGGAACACCAGUGGCGAAAGCGGCCUCCUGGACCACUACUGACACUCAGACGCAGAAGCUAGGGUAUCAAACA